rnacentral:rRNA from 1 species
UACGUAGGUGGCAAGCGUUGUCCGGAAUUAUUGGGCGUAAAGCGCGCGCAGGCGGUCCUUUAAGUCUGAUGUGAAAGCCCACGGCUCAACCGUGGAGGGUCAUUGGAAACUGGGGGACUUGAGUGCAGGAGAGAAGAGUGGAAUUCCACGUGUAGCGGUGAAAUGCGUAGAUAUCGUGAGGAAGACCAGUGGCGAAGGCGGAUCUCUGGACAGUUCCUGACGCUGAGGCGCGAAGGCCAGGGGAGCAAACGGG